rnacentral:misc_RNA from 1 species
CGCACAUUGCGCCCCCUGGCAGUCUGGGGGGUAUGCCCGUUCGAGCGUCAUAUAACAACCCUCAAGCACGGCUUGGUAUUGGGACCCGGGGCCACCCCGGACCUCAAACGCGUCGGCUAUCAAUCAAUGAACGGGGAGUACCGUCGCAUGGCGCCGUAACGAUCCACAAAUUCUUACGGGUGCGGAGCCUCGUACGCGCCCCUGCCUUACGCGUUCGCAUCGGUCGCUCGACCGAACAGCAGUUUGACCUCGGAUCGGGUAGGGAUACCCGCUGAACUUAA